rnacentral:misc_RNA from 1 species
UGUUUGACAGAAAUGACAAAUAGACAAGAUGAAUCAAAUCAACCUACGUAAAUGAUAAACCUUAUAAAGCUUAGCUUUUACAGAUAUAUUUGUCACUGCCAGACACAAUGUCAAAAGCUUGGGCGGGAUGUAAGCUGAAAAGCAAGGAGUUUUAUAGCUCUGAACAGCAUCUGAACACUGGCAAAAAUCCAACCAAAGACAUAUUGCUUUACACACAAAUGAGACAGUAUGGUAACCAAAAGAAAAACCCACAAAGUAUUGUGAAUGAGUACAUUGCUAGAGCUGUUCCAACCCUAUUGGUGGAAAAAGAGUUUGACAUGGGAAACAUAAAUAAGGUCUUCUCCUCACACUGGCUCAAUGACAGACAGGUUGCCUUCGGUACAAAAUGCAAUAAAUUGAUGAUAUUAGAUUCUCUGACAGGAAAACUUUUUCAAAUUCCGUCCAUAAAAAGUAGUGAUGACAGUUAUCCAGCAGAAAGUCCUUGUGGAAUACACAGUAUAGCCCUAAAUCCCUCAGGGACCUUAUUCGCCACAGGGGCCGAGAACACAAAUGAUCUGGCAAUUUACCAACUACCAACCUUUGACCCUGUGAUGGUGGGAGAGAGAGGGCACACAGAUUGGAUAUUCGAUAUUUCAUGGAUAGAUGACGAAUUUCUGGUGACCGGUUCUCGAGACAGUCGACUGUGUCUGUGGCGAGUAGACAACAAGGAGGAUAUAGAUCAAACCUCGCGUUUACAAAGUCUACAGGUACCGGAAUACGCCAUUAAGGGUCCAGAAGCUGUGGAAUAUUGUGACAAGGCUAACAAAGUCCGUGCUUUAUGCUACAACGAUAACAGAAAGGAACUAGCUGUUCUCUCCCUAAAUGCUUACUUUUAUCUCUGGGAUGUCGAAACUUUUACUGCUAAAACAUAUAGACGCCUUUUUCACACCAAGGAGAAUGUGUGUAUGUGUGUGUCCAAGGAGAGGACGCUGUAUGCAGUGGGGUCACAGUCUCAUAUUAACCUAGUAGACCCACGCUGUCCUAACACCCUCACGACUAUAAUCUCUCGCUAUCGGGGUGGAGGUGUACGAUCCGUUAGUUUUCGAGACGAUGUGCUAACAAUAGGAACUGGUGUGGGUAAUAUUCUGUUUUUUGACACAAAAGCAGGGAAAUACUUGGAGUGUGGGUGUGGACAUCCAUUUACUAUGACUGUUGGAAAUGGAUUUUUAUCAAGAGAUGAAAACUACAGGGAAUUUUUCAUGGACAAUAGUUAUCCCAAUGCCAUCUAUACACAUCAGUUUGACAGUACAGGGACUCGAUUGUUUGCGGCUGGCGGACCUCUACCUGCAGGACUAUGGGGAAACUAUGCUGGCCUCUGGCAUUGAUAUUCCUCCACAUAGGACUAGCAAAUAAAUUGUGAUAGAAACAUUCAAAACAUAUUUACAUUAGAUAUAAUAUCAAAGGCAAUUCGUUUAGAGGAUUUUAAAUAUCUUUUCAACUUUAUCAGACAUGCUGGAUUUAAUAGAGUCUGGUGUAUGUAGGUAUGUGAGAUAUAUAUAGGAUACUGGAAGAUAUUUACCAGUAAUAGUUCCACUGAAUACACUACCUAUAUAUGUAUGGCAGAAUACCAAUAUGUAUUCACAAAUGCAAAUCAUGAGUGAAGAUAUUGGUAUAUUCUGCAGCCAUAUGAGUGAUAUUUAAUGGGAAAUCAGUAAAUAUUUUGUUACUUUCAACGACAAAACUAUUACAGCAUGAAAAGUGUGAGAAUUAAUAGUGUAAUAUUUGACGUCAUAUUGUAAUGAUGUGACGCUUGGCAACAGGGCUGCACAUUGUUCUGAAUAGUUUACUUGAUGUAAUUUUAUAGUUUUCAGCUAUAAUGUGAAACUUUCUUGCAAGAAUUUUUUUCAAUUGUACAGCUGCAUAUAUACUGCGGUUUAUAUAGCAAUGGUGUACCAAAACAACCGUUUGUUUUAGUAUUGUUUUAUUCGCAUCUGAAACAGAAAUGAAUGCAGUGAAUAGAAAGAAUCAUUCUGAUUGGUCAAUACUAAAAAUGAUGUCUUUCCUUGUGAAGAUAUAACAUUCUGUUUAUAUGAUCUGCAGUAAAGUUUUUCGUCAAAAUGAUAAUUUCUGAUAUUUCUCAGACAAAGCCUCCUCGUGUUUGGCAACUUAAGAAUUUAUCCCCUAAGGUUAAGAUUCCAUUAUCUCGCCCCAAAGGGGAUGAGAGAUUCUAUUAGUCGCAGUAUACAAGAACCCCAAAUCAUUAUUAUAAUUAUUUAAAACAGUUGCAUGAUGUCACGUCAACAAAGCAUUGGACCUAAUUGAGUUUGAUGUUGGUAAAGUGAUAAUCAGAUUGUCGAUGGUUAAAUUCUCACUGCUGUCUUCACACCUGGAUGGCAAGGUGAAGAUCUAUGGUUUAAUUCUCACUGCUGUCUUCACACCUGGCCAGCAAGGUGAAGAUGAACAUCUAGGUAAACUUCAUUUUUGUAAAUCAUGCCACAAUGGUGGCCACCAUUAUGGAAAUAUUAUUGUCAGCCUUUCUUUAAAGAAUAUGUCGCUCAACUUUUGUCAGAUAACAAUGUUUUAUAGCUAGAUUUUCAGGACAUAAGCUCAAAUAAUCUGUCUGAGAAACAGAUUAGUUCCUUCAUAUGCUGCCAGUAGUUAUGUUUUAUAAUUAGUAUACGAUGUCUAAAUUUGUGUCUGAAUGCUGUUGGGGUUGUUUGUCAGAGAGAGAGAGAGAGAGAGAGAGAGAGAGAUUAAAGAAACAAAGUGCAUGAAUUACCACUGUUUUCCAGUAUGUGGACCCCACCUUUAGUGGCUUUAGGACAGUGGUGAUUAAUACAUGUUAUUGGGUGGUGUUAGACUGAUAUCAGAGUAUAUAAACUGGUCGAGUGAGCUUUGUAUCAGGUGAAAUAAUUGUCAUAUUCAUUUAAACAUAUUGUUUUAGCGAAUAACUGUGUAUGUGUUCUCAAAAAUUUCUGAUUUGUAAUUUUUUCUUUUGAAAAAUUUCAUGUUUGGAAUUCCAGGAAUGAAUUACGAGGUGAUCAAUAUCAUUCUUUUGAAUAUUUGCUUAUGUAUUGGAUAAUUUGAACAUGCAGGGCUUAUUUGUUCAAUGCUUAUCAAAUGGUUGGACCAGUUAGAUCCGAGUCUGUUCAUGAAAUAUGGACAGCCCUCAAGUGGCCAGAUGUUGCUUUCUGGCAAGCUUUUUAAAAAGAUGUUCAAGGCUUAAUUAAUAUUUGCAAGUCUGUCAGGUUGACAAAACUGUCAAUCUUGUAAACGGAAAUGAGGUCUCAAAAUCACUAAGUGUCACCGCAGGUCUAGGUGUUCAGUGUUUCCCAUGACAAUUACACUUAAUAUUCUCUAAUAGUAAAUUCUAGUUAGUAUCUCUGAUUUUCUAUCAUUUUCAAUGAAACUGCUGGUUAACAAAAGCAGUUUUUAAUAGAGAUGAGGUUUCAAUAUGACACUGAUCUACGUAGAACUUUGUUGUGUGUGUGUUUGGGGAGCUGGGAGGGGGGGAAUCUAUGAACAAUCAAUUUCAUUAUAUAUAUACAUUCUACACAUACAUAAUUAAUUUCUAUGCCAUUGAAAGAUGAAUUCUUCAAGUGAUUAAUACAUGUGUAAUUAACUUUAUACAAUUUUAUGGUAUGCUUGCUUCAUUUUCAUAAAGACGCACACCUGUAAAUAUAUAGAAUUUUAUUUGUAUAACUCCAUCAUGCAGGAACAUAUAAUCUGAAAGUUUGGUAUGCGUGUUUUGUUUUUCUUGUUUUUGCCCAGUUCAGUGCUCCAAAUUUGUUUUUAAAAGUAUUUGUUGUCUUUCUUUUUAAGGCUUCUUUUAAAAGCUAUUCCAGUUUCCCAGCUUGAACAUGGAAUAUAAUUAAAUAUUGGCGUGGGGAGUGAGGCACAUUUAUAUUUUCCCCCUUCCCCAUAGUAUAUAUAUUCUUGUAUCAAUGACACCAUUGGUAUAUAUUGUAAUAGUGUACCUCCCUUCCAAUCUAAUUAAAAUCAGAUCCAAAUUCCCAUUCCUCCACGAUACUCUUACAUAGUAUCGUAGAGGUACGAUACUCUUACAAAAUAUCUUACAUAGUAUCGUAGAGGUACGAUACUCUUACAAAGUAUCGUAGAGGUACGAUACUCUUACAAAGUAUCUUACAUAGUAUCAUGGAGGUACAAUACUCUUACAUAGUAUCGUAGAGGUACGAUACUCUUACAUAGUAUCAUAGAGGUACGAUACUCCUACAUAGUAUCGUAGAGGUACGAUACUCUUACAAAGUAUCGUAGAGGUACGAUACUCUUACAAAGUAUCUUACAUAGUAUCGUAGAGGUACAAUACUCUUACAUAGUAUUAUAGAGGUACAAUACUCUCACAUAGUAUCAGAGAGGUACGAUACUAUUACAUAGUAUCUUACAUAGUAUCGUAGAGGUACAAUACUCUUACAUAGUAUUAUAGAGGUACAAUACUCCUACAUAGUAUCGUAGAGGUUCGAUACUCUUACAUAGUAUCUUAGAGGUACGAUACUCUUACAAAGUAUCGUAGAGGUACGAUACUCUUACAUAGUAUUGUAGAGGAACAGGAAUUCGGAUCUGAUUUUAAUUUGAUUGCCUCCCUUCCUUCUGCAUACUUCUGUAAUAGCUAAUUGCACAUCAGUCAUAUUCAUGAUAAACUUAAUAAUUUCGAUUAAUUAUUUGUUAUUUUAUUUUUUUAAAAACCCUGAAAUUGUAAUGAAAGAAAGAAUGAUAUAAUAUAUAGAUGGCCAGAACGAGAUUCAAACCUGGGACCCUCUGAACCCUUGAUGAAUUUCUAUAUUAU